rnacentral:rRNA from 1 species
ACUCAAAGGAAUAGACGGGGGCCCGCACAAGCGGUGGAACAUGUGGUUUAAUUCGACGCAACGCGAAGAACCUUACCUGGGCUUGAACUACUGGUAGUAAGUCCCGAGAAACCGGGGCUGAUCCGCAAGGAAGCCAGCAGAGGUGCUGCAUGGUUGUCGUCAGCUCGUGUCGUGAGAUGUUGGGUUAAGUCCCGCAACGAGCGCAACCCCUAUCCAAUGUUGCUAAUCCCGUAAGGGAUGCACUCUUUGGAAACUGCCUUCGAUAAGAAGGAGGAAGGUGGGGACGACGUCAAAUCCUCAUGGCCCUUAUGUCCAGGGCUACACACGUGUUACAAUGGCCGGUACAAUGGGAAGCAAUACAGCAAUGUGGAGCCAAACCCCAAAGCCGGCCCCAGUUCAGAUUGUGGGCUGCAAUUCGCCCACAUGAAGGCGGAAUCGCUAGUAAUCGCUGAUCAGCAGGCAGCGGUGAAUACGUUCCCGGGCCUUGUACACACCGCCCGU